CAGAUGAUUUUCUCCAUCUGAAGUUAAAGUUCACUCACACAAGAAGCUAAGGAAAAAGAAGCUUGAAGUGAAGAACUAAGAGCCUUUCCUACACUGACAGGAGAGAGCUGCAGAGGGAUGAAGUUCAUGCGAUAACUGAAUGAAGGUAGAAAGCGUGUGUGAGCUGAUGUGGAUGUGA